UAGGGAAUCUUCCGCAAUGGGCGAAAGCCUGACGGAGCAACGCCGCGUGAGUGAUGAAGGUCUUCGGAUCGUAAAACUCUGUUAUUAGGGAAGAACAAAUGUGUAAGUAACUAUGCACGUCUUGACGGUACCUAAUCAGAAAGCCACGGCUAACUACGUGCCAGCAGCCGCGGUAAUACGUAGGUGGCAAGCGUUAUCCGGAAUUAUUGGGCGUAAAGCGCGCGUAGGCGGUUUUUUAAGUCUGAUGUGAAAGCCCACGGCUCAACCGUGGAGGGUCAUUGGAAACUGGAACUUGAGUGCAGAAGAGGAAAGUGGAAUUCCAUGUGUAGCGGUGAAAUGCGCAGAGAUAUGGAGGAACACCAGUGGCGAAGGCGACUUUCUGGUCUGUAACUGACGCUGAUGUGCGAAAGCGUGGGAUCAAACAGG
rnacentral:rRNA from 1 species